rnacentral:lncRNA from 1 species
AUGAAGGACCCGAGGCUCAGAAGAAUCGCUCACGCAUGUCACCCGGUCACUACGUCGCAGAUCUUGUGCUUCCACCUGGAUCCUCUGGCUCCUCGCCUGGUGACUGUAGUGGGGAGCAGACUCCCUCCCAAAGGCGAGCCCAGCACUUCUGAAGCUUGGCACGAUUCUCUGCUUCUGCUUUUCCUCUCCAGUCACUACUUGACCGACUUCUUUCCAGUUUCUUUCUCUGAAUCCCCCACUGAUCCUGAUGUAGACACUUUGUGGAGGCUGUAUAUGCCUAUAUCACUUGGAGACUGUGGGGGAGAAACAGACUUUAAACUGAUUAUGAGUUUGCACCUUCCUAACAGCAAGGGGCGGCAGAGGAUGAGAUGGUUGGAUGGCAUCACUGAUUCAACGGACAUGAGUUUGAGCAAACUCUGGGAGAUAGUGAAGGCCAGGGAAGCCUGGCAUGCUGCAGUCCAUACAUGUCAUGGAGAGUCAGACAGAGCUUGGCCCCUCAACAAAAACAAACAGCAAGUGAAGAGUACAUGCCGACUGUCAGGAAUUCCAGCAGAGAACCUGCACUUCUUCACACGGGGGCUUGCAGAGACUUUGCAAAACCUCAGCAGCUCCAGACCACCCCUGUUCUAG